AACAGUGAGCUAAGCCUCCAGCUCCCCUGGGCCUGGGAGCAGGUGCCCGCUGCGCCUGGGGCCCCCAGGGGCUGACAAGGCAGCGUCACCUGGCAUAGCCCCGGCCCCUCCCCUAUGCACCUGCCUGGCGGGUGUUGCUGCGGGAGUGGGUGGCCGGCAGGGCAGGGUGCUGAGCAAGGCAUGGAGAUGAGCAGAGACCCCAGUGCCCCCAGCCUGCACCACCCCUGCACCCCAAGGCUCAGUUGCAGGAGCUGAUGCCAGGGAGGCUGGGAGUGCCGGUAUCUGGAGCCCCUGACACCUGGUCUACAAGGUGCCUGCAUCUGCCGCGUCCGCCGCCUGGGCUUGGAGCAGCCUCCCUCUAGGACAGACGGAAUCCUUAGUGCUCAGCCUGACCUGGACCCCUGCCUGCCACCCCAGUACCUUCCUGCCAGGACGACCGUGCACACCUCGAGCCAUGGGCCCCAGAGCAGGUGCCCUGGUGAGCCCGGGCCUCGCCCUCCUGGUGUCACUCACCGCCCACUGCUCUCAUCCCCAGGCUGAGGGCACCUCUCAGGGAGGGCUGGAUGCCAGCUGGGCCGACCUAUGGGCCAG